rnacentral:rRNA from 1 species
UGGGGAAUUUUGGACAAUGGGCGAAAGCCUGAUCCAGCAAUGCCGCGUGUGUGAAGAAGGCCUUCGGGUUGUAAAGCACUUUUGUCCGGAAAGAAAUCCUUGGCUCUAAUACAGUCGGGGGAUGACGGUACCGGAAGAAUAAGCACCGGCUAACUACGUGCCAGCAGCCGCGGUAAUACGUAGGGUGCAAGCGUUAAUCGGAAUUACUGGGCGUAAAGCGUGCGCAGGCGGUUUGCUAAGACCGAUGUGAAAUCCCCGGGCUCAACCUGGGAACUGCAUUGGUGACUGGCAGGCUAGAGUAUGGCAGAGGGGGGUAGAAUUCCACGUGUAGCAGUGAAAUGCGUAGAGAUGUGGAGGAAUACCGAUGGCGAAGGCAGCCCACUGGGCCAAUACUGACGCUCAUGCACGAAAGCGUGGGGAGCAAACAGGAUUAGAUACCCUGGUAGUCCACGCCCUAAACGAUGUCAACUAGUUGUUGGGGAUUCAUUUCCUUAGUAACGUAGCUAACGCGUGAAGUUGACCGCCUGGGGAGUACGGUCGCAAGAUUAAAACUCAAAUGAAUUGACGGGGU